rnacentral:rRNA from 1 species
CAUAAGUAACCUGCCCUAGACAGGGGGAUAACUAUUGGAAACGAUAGCUAAGACCGCAUAGGUACGGACACUGCAUGGUGACCGUAUUAAAAGUGCCUCAAAGCGCUGGUAGAGGAUGGACUUAUGGCGCAUUAGCUGGUUGGUGAGGUAACGGCUCACCAAGGCGACGAUGCAUAGCCGGCCUGAGAGGGCGGACGGCCACAUUGGGACUGAGACACGGCCCAAACUCCUACGGGAGGCAGCAUG